rnacentral:rRNA from 1 species
UACGAAGGGGGCUAGCGUUGUUCGGAUUUACUGGGCGUAAAGCGCACGUAGGCGGCUUGUUAAGUCAGGGGUGAAAUCCCAGAGCUCAACUCUGGAACUGCCUUUGAUACUGGCAAGCUAGAGUCCGGAAGAGGUAAGUGGAACUCCUAGUGUAGAGGUGGAAUUCGUAGAUAUUAGGAAGAACACCAGUGGCGAAGGCGGCUUACUGGUCCGGAACUGACGCUGGAGGUGCGAAAGCCGUGGGGAGCAAACAGG